rnacentral:rRNA from 1 species
GCACAUGCCUAUAACAUAACAUUAAUGCACCGGAUCCCAUUAGAGCUUCGCACUUAAGCGUGUUUGGGCUAGAGUAGUACCGAGAUGGGUGAUCGUCUGGGAAGUUCUAGUGUUUUGUUUC